CUACGGGUUCUCCAGUGGGGAAUAUUGCACAAUGGGCGCAAGCCUGAUGCAGCCAUGCCGCGUGUAUGAAGAAGGCCUUCGGGUUGUAAAGUACUUUCAGCGGGGAGGAAGGGAGUAAAGUUAAUACCUUUGCUCAUUGACGUUACCCGCAGAAGAAGCACCGGCUAACUCCGUGCCAGCAGCCGCGGUAAUACGGAGGGUACAAGCGUUAAUCGGAAUUACUGGGCGUAAAGCGCACGCAGGCGGUUUGUUAAGUCAGAUGUGAAAUCCCCGGGCUCAACCUGGGAACUGCAUCUGAUACUGGCAAGCUUGAGUCUCGUAGAGGGGGGUAGAAUUCCAGGUGUAGCGGUGAAAUGCAUAGAGAUCUGGAGGAAUACCGGUGGCGAAGGCGGCCCCUGGACGAAGACUGACGCUCAGGUGCGAAAGCGUGGGGAGCAAACAGGAUUAGAUACCCUGGUAGUC
rnacentral:rRNA from 1 species